UACGUAGGUCCCGAGCGUUGUCCGGAUUUAUUGGGCGUAAAGCGAGCGCAGGUGGUUUAUUAAGUCUGGUGUAAAAGGCAGUGGCUCAACCAUUGUAUGCAUUGGAAACUGGUAGACAUGAGUGCAGGAGAGGAGAGUGGAAUUCCAUGUGUAGCGGUGAAAUGCGUAGAUAUAUGGAGGAACACCGGUGGCGAAAGCGGCUCUCUGGCCUGUAACUGACACUGAGGCUCGAAAGCGUGGGGAGCAAACAGG
rnacentral:rRNA from 1 species